rnacentral:rRNA from 1 species
GACGAACGCUGGCGGCGUGCUUAACACAUGCAAGUCGAACGGAAAGGCCCUGCUUUUGUGGGGUGCUCGAGUGGCGAACGGGUGAGUAACACGUGAGUAACCUGACCUUGACUUUGGGAUAACUUCAGGAAACUGGGGCUAAUACCGGAUAGGAGCUCCUGCUGCAUGGUGGGGGUUGGAAAGUUUCGGCGGUUGGGGAUGGACUCGCGGCUUAUCAGCUUGUUGGUGGGGUAGUGGCUUACCAAGGCAUUGACGGGUAGCCGGCCUGAGAGGGUGACCGGCCACAAUGGGACUGAGAUACGGCCCAGACUCCUACGUGAGGCAGCAGUGGGGAAUAUGGCACAAUGGGCGGAAGCCUGAUGCAGCAACGCCGCGUGCGGGAUGACGGCCUGCGGGUUGUAAACCGCUUUCGCCUGUGACGAAGCGUUAGUGACGGUAAUGGGUAAAGAAGCACCGGCUAACUACGUG